GGGUUGUGAGGUUAAGCGACUAAGCGUACACGGUGGAUGCCCUGGCAGUCAGAGGCGAUGAAGGGCGUGCUAAUCUGCGAUAAGCGCCGGUAAGGUGAUAUGAACCGUUAUAACCGGCGAUACCCGAAUGGGGAAACCCAGUGUGACUCGUCACACUAUCAUUAACUGAAUCCAUAGGUUAAUGAGGCGAACCGGGGGAACUGAAACAUCUAAGUACCCCGAGGAAAAGAAAUCAACCGAGAUUCCCCCAGUAGCGGCGAGCGAACGGGGAGGAGCCCAGAGCCUGAAUCAGCAUGUGUGUUAGUGGAAGCGUCUGGAAAGGCGCGCGAUACAGGGUGACAGCCCCGUACACAAAAGCGCAUGUGCUGUGAGCUCGAUGAGUAGGGCGGGACACGUGGUAUCCUGUCUGAAUAUGGGGGGACCAUCCUCCAAGGCUAAAUACUCCUGACUGACCGAUAGUGAACCAGUACCGUGAGGGAAAGGCGAAAAGAACCCCGGCGAGGGGAGUGAAAAAGAACCUGAAACCGUGUACGUACAAGCAGUGGGAGCCCCACCACCAAAGCAUUAUCUGGUGUUGAAGGCCCUGCAAAGCAGCAUCGCGGUGGCGGAGCGUCGUUUGCGACGCCCAACACACAAAACAAGCGGUGAAUGCUUUGGGGUGGGGUGACUGCGUACCUUUUGUAUAAUGGGUCAGCGACUUAUAUUCUGUAGCAAGGUUAACCGAAUAGGGGAGCCGGAGGGAAACCGAGUCUUAAUUGGGCGUUAAGUUGCAGGGUAUAGACCCGAAACCCGGUGAUCUAGCCAUGGGCAGGUUGAAGGUUGGGUAACACUAACUGGAGGACCGAACCGACUAAUGUUGAAAAAUUAGCGGAUGACCUGUGGCUGGGGGUGAAAGGCCAAUCAAACCGGGAGAUAGCUGGUUCUCCCCGAAAGCUAUUUAGGUAGCGCCUCGUGAAUUCAUCUCCGGGGGUAGAGCACUGUUUCGGCUAGGGGGCCAUCCCGGCUUACCAACCCGAUGCAAACUGCGAAUACCGGAGAAUGUUAUCACGGGAGACACACGGCGGGUGCUAACGUCCGUCGUGAAGAGGGAAACAACCCAGACCGCCAGCUAAGGUCCCAAAGUCAUGGUUAAGUGGGAAACGAUGUGGGAAGGCCCAGACAGCCAGGAUGUUGGCUUAGAAGCAGCCAUCAUUUAAAGAAAGCGUAAUAGCUCACUGGUCGAGUCGGCCUGCGCGGAAGAUGUAACGGGGCUAAACCAUGCACCGAAGCUGCGGCAGCGACGCUGAUGCGUUGUUGGGUAGGGGAGCGUUCUGUAAGCCUGCGAAGGUGACCUGUGAGGGUUGCUGGAGGUAUCAGAAGUGCGAAUGCUGACAUAAGUAACGAUAAAGCGGGUGAAAAGCCCGCUCGCCGGAAGACCAAGGGUUCCUGUCCAACGUUAAUCGGGGCAGGGUGAGUCGACCCCUAAGGC
rnacentral:rRNA from 1 species